UCCAUUAUCCAAAUAGAUUGCAAACUCAAAUAAAUCAAGUGCUAACAAAUUUUCAUAAUCUCCAAAUCUCAACUUCAAACUUAUAAAAAAAAAUAUAUUUAAAAGCUCAAUAUCUAAAUAGCUUCCAAAAACCAAAUAAUCCAAAGGAACAUAAACUCAUAAGCUAACAAUGUCCAAAUAACAUCCUAAGCAAAAUCUUAAUGAUGACCAUUCCCCGACCUAGCUAUCAAUCCUCGCCCGAACUAAGGGUGCCUGAAAAGUAAUCAACAAAUAAGAAUGAGCUCAAAGCCCAAUAAGGAAUAUUAAUGCAGUCCAUGGAUCAAAUAUUUCAAGUUCACUUGCAAAAUAGGAGAUAUUAUUAUUAAUUAUUUUCAUAAACUUUUGAGUCAGUUUUGCCAAUACAUUCAAAACUUUUAAUUGUACACUUUCAUUUCUGAUUCAAACAUUUUCAUAUCAAAUUCAGUCAUAACAUUCAAAUCAUUUAUUUACUCUGGUAAUCAACCAUCAAAUAGUGCCCAAUUAGGUGGGACUUUUUAAAUAGGUGGCUAGCCUCAAAUUGUUCCUUUAAGGUGGACGGAACCAAACACUAGUAGUACUAGUAACCUCUAACCAAACCCCUAGAGGCUAAGGUCCAAAUCAAUUACAUUUCUCACCAAGAAAUGUAAAGGUGAACUAUUAUAUCACAUUGACAAGGGCCAAAAAGUCAAAAGUAAACUAUUAUAUCCAGUUGACAAGGGCCAAACAAACCAAAGUCAAAUACUUAUUUCAAUUAUUCAAAUUUGUAAAACAUAAUAUCUCCACAUUUCUCUCUUAUAAACAAAAUGUAAGUUUCUAAUAUAUUUUUCAUGCAAAACAUAUUUGAUCAAUGCAUAAAACGAAUAAUAACUCAAAAUGUUUCCAAAUGAUGUAUAUAAAAAUUUGUUUCUAAAAAAAACAACUACAUUAAUUUCCCUUACCUCAAAAGAAGUCCUAAAAAACUUUUGAGAAAAAUAAUCCUGAAAAUCUACUCUUCACCUAACAAAAUAUAAGAUAAUUAAUAACCAUUACUAUUUAUCUAAAAUUAUAGGUUUGACAAUCCUAAAAUUUUAGGUAUUCGAAUUAAUGUUUUUUUUUUAAUUAUGAAAGAUAAUUUAAUCUAUUCCUAUUUUAGAAAAUUUAAUAAAUUUCUAAUUCAUAUAAAACUUAAAUUUUAUUUUCAAUUUAUUUCUUGGGACACAACAUAAUUUAAUUAAAUUGUAAUUUAUUUCACUAAUUAAAUUCUAUGCUAUUUAUUAACUUACACCCAUAAUUAAUAUAAUUAUAAUACCAAAAACUUUACUUUCUUUUAUUUAUAAAUUAUAUUUUCUCACUUUCAAGUUUUUUUUUUUUUUUUCACCAAACAUAGCCUAUACACAACAACUCUCCUUCAUUGCUAAUAUAUAUAUAUUAACCAACCUAAUACCAUCUGUACACAUCUUCUUUUAUUAAAUAAUACAGUACCCAUCAAAGUCUAAUAACACAAAGCCCUGCCAUUAUUAAAUAAUACAGUACUCAAUACUCAAGUACCCAUCAAAGUCUAAUAAUAUGGAGUCCUGCUAUUAUUAAAUAUUACAUACCCAAGUAUCCAUAAAAGUCUAAUAAUAGAGUAUGUGAAAAUCCACCAACUAGAUUUCAACCAUGAAAUCCUUACAAAAAAAAGUGGAUGCACAGUUCCCACACGCAUGCAACCAAUGCAACCUUCUAUUUUCCAGUGCACACAUGUUCUUUUUUUUUGUUAAAUCAAAUUGUAUUUUUCUAAUCCCUUAAGCCACAAUUAACAAUAUAUUUAUUUAUUAUUAUUUUAAAAAAAAAUAUUAACCCUUACCUAAAUCGAAAUCUUCAAAAGAAUUUUUUCUUUCAUCUAAAAACUUAAGAUUUACCAAUUUCCAACAAUAAAUCAAAAUCUUAAAUUUUCACUAUUUUGAUAUUAAAACAAAUUAAAAAAAAUAAACUAACCCUAAUCUAGAUUUGGGUUUUCCAAAAGAUAUCUAACGUGUUUGAAAUUAACCAAUGAAUUUAAAAUAUUAAUUUAUGGGUUAGAAUCUUACCUAUAGAGAUCUGUUCUUCAAACCCUAAAAUUCGACUCCAAUCUUACGUUCUC
rnacentral:lncRNA from 1 species